CAUAAAAUUUACAUCACAAUACUUAACAGCCUCUCUCCAAUAGGCCAACCAUCCCAACAUCCCCAACUACUUUCUCUAAAGAAUGACACAGCUCUUGUCAGACUCUCUCCUCACACCUCAUUCUUCAUACCUCACAUCUUCAUUCUUCCCUCCCCUUUCUUAGAUUGUAUUACUGAUUCAAGACAACUCAAGACAAUAAUCCUCAAGAGUCAUCACUGGCCUUUCCACAGAUUUUAGAAACAGCAUGGAGGAAAGGUGAGGAAGAACAUCAAUGGCAAUAUCUCCAAUAUAUCUCUAAUUCCUCUUCUGUCACUUAAGGGCUAUAGAGAACACUGAAAACAUCUAGUAAUCAUUAUUCUGCAUCUAUGGCCUGCAAAAGAAGACUUCUAAAGUCAGGUGGGGAAAACAUGAUCCAAAGUUGGAAUGCUUGGCUCAAAGUCUAAAUGUAAAGCUGCUUCUGGAUAUAAAAAAACAUGUGAAUCCUAGGAGAAGAGUUGCUACCUUCAGAGGAUAAGAAGUGUGACAAUUUUGGAAACUCUGAUUGGCCCCUCUGAAGAAGAGUGGAGACAGGAAACCACCAUAAAAAGGCCACAAAAACCUUCAGCUAGGAGGCUGGUUAAAAGUUGAGUCUCAUAGAGAGUAUCUUCUGGAGAUAGUCUUCGAGGGAACUUCAUUGGCAACUCUGACUCCUGGACUACUUGGUUAGGUGAGUGAAAAGCUUACUCCCUUCCUAGUUUCCUAAGACACUAGCUUCCAUCUUAGAGGAGGCUACAUGACUACUCACUACCGACCCACCUGGCUGAAGGUUUCCCCUCUAUUUUUUGGUAAAUAAACUGCAACCAACCAUUAAAUUUAACCUUUACAUUUCUGGCAAUUAUAUACUAGUCAUACUCUAUCAUCUCUGGUGUAAAUAUCUCUGGUACUUCUUUCUUGGCCCCUCCAAGUUCUUAUCUCCAUACUCCUUUGGCUCAAUAUUUUAUACAGCUCUAAGCAGAGUGCAUUCAGAAACCCACUGAGAAAGCAAAUAAUAAUAUAUCAAUUAAAUUUGUUUUUUUUUAAUCACAAUUCAAAUGACCACUGCUACCAGAUAUAUUCACCAUGGUAUUCCUGUAAAAAAAAUAAAAGCCUUAUAAAGUUUGACAGAUUGGGAAAACCAAGCCCCUUGCUUUAAAAACUCAUUAUUUACAAACUUCCUUUAAAAGGAGGCAGCUAAGUGGCUGAGCCUGGUGUCAGGAAGACCUAAUUUCAAAUCUGCCUUCUGACAUAUUCCUAGUUGUGUGACCCUGGACAAACCACAAGCCUGACAAAAGAAUCCACUGGAGAAAGAAAUGGCAAACCACUCCAGUAUCCUUGUCAAGAAAACCCCAUGGAUAGCUACGGUUCAUAACAUCAGGAAGGAGUCAAACAUGAGUAAACAACAACCACCUAAAAAACAGGUCUUUUGCUUCCAUACAAAUUAGAGAUAAGAACUCAAUCUAAAGAUUUCACCAGCAUUGGUAACUUCUUAAUUAGGAAAUACCCUGUACCAAUGCUGGUUGACCCAUAGGGUCUUGGUGGGGGCACUGAGAAUAGCUGAGUGAUUUGCCCAGGGUCAGGAUGCCAGUAAGGUUCAGAGAUGAGAUCUGAACCCAAGUCUUCAACGGCAGGCCCACUAUAUCCACUGUGUGGAAAAAGGAGAGAAAGGGAGAGAAGAGGGAGGUGAGGGUGGAGGAAAGAGGGAGGAACCAAUGGAAAUCAUUCACUCACUCUGGGUUAAAUGACCCACUAUACUGAAGGCACUGGGUAGUCUACGCUUAAACACUAUAAAAGAUCCUCCACUUGAAGGACCUCCUUUACUGGCCUAGGGUCACUGCUGUUUGGUACAAAGUGGACCAGGAACUGAGAGAAGCACGGGGCCGGAGAGGGUCAAGGGCAAGGCGGAGCCAAGUGCACACACAACCCCCCGGGGGUAAGGGAAGUGUUGAGGGGAGGGGAGGGUCGUUAGCCUAGCAUCCAAGCCGGUAGGUAGCAAGAACCCGGGCCUUGACAAUUCCAGAAUCCAAGCACCCAGAUUUGCCAAGAUCGGACCUCUGGCUCGGGCUGCGGUCAAGUGGCACCUGCCAAGGUUUGGGGUGAGGGGGCUAAACAGGGACUGCAGCUCGCUGGCCCGAGGGUCUCGUAACGCAAAAGUCCCACCGAGCGCGUUCUCUCUCCUUUUCCCACCCGCUGCCGCCGUCCCGAAAGAAGAACCGAGUAGCGAAGCUCUCACCUGGGCCCAAAGGCAGCUUCGUUGUCUCUGCCGCCGCCGUAGACGUGGGGGAGUACAGGAGCAGGGGUACUUUCCUGCUGCACCCCUCCACUCUCUUCCCUUCACCACACAACACAGACCUCGUCCGCUCCUUCCUUGUUACAAUCGAACUUGAAGUGAGGCGGAAGCUUGAGGAGCAGCAGUCUACUGCAAUCGCCGAGAAGAAAGCCCAAGGGUAGGCGGGGCUAAAUUGACUUGGGGGCGGGACUUGGGAUCCCAGCAUGCAACCUCUCCCAAGCUAGGUUGUAGAACCACUCGCGGUUACUAUUGUGGGGCUGUUUGAAAGCUGGCGCCAGAGCCGGCGGGAAGUUCAGCUCACUCGACCAUUGGUGGAAGUGUAAGCCAAUCGGAGUAUGCUGGCCGGAGGGGCGGGUUGAUGGGUUACCUAGACGCCCAAAGUCUGUGUGAGUAGUUUUUUUGCAAAUGAGAUUCACAGAUUCAGAGGUUUUCCAGGUCCAAAUGUAGACUCCUUAAGGGCAACAUACCCAACGCCUAACACAAUUCUGGUCACAUGGUGUUGUGUAUGCCAAUGAGUGCUUGUUGAUUAACUGAAGCAAUCGGGGUUAAGUGACUUGUCACACAGGGUCACACAGCUAAGUAAAUACCUGAGGUCAGAGUUAAAUUCAGGUCUUUCUGACUCCAGGUCCUACCCUCUCUCCACUGCAUCACACAGCUGCCUGGACUUUAAACACAUCUGUCGCAGAUAUGGUGAGGAGAUUGCUUCAGAUAAACACUGCUUAAGAAGAGACCAACUGACUCAGGUCAAAAAAACAGCAGAUCAAAGUUUCAGCAGCACAGUGAGUAAAAACUCUGUUCCUGGAGUCAGGAAGACCUAUCUUUCUGGCUCAAAUCUGGCCUCAGACACUUACUAGUUCUGUGACUCAUGGCAACUUACCACUGUUUGCCUUGGUUUCUUCAUCUGUAAAAUGAGCUGGAGAAAGAAGCAAGAAAUCAUUCUGGUGCCAAACCCACCACACCCUGUUAGGUGCAAGCUCAAGAUGGUCAGGAAGGAGAGGGGGAGGCCUGCUUUGGGUGCAAGCUCAAGAAGGUCACACCGUAGGUGAAGGGCCCCUCCUGUUUUUACAUUCGCUGUUAACCAAAAUGCUGACUCCUAAUGCUGUCAGUAAAAGACACUAAAAUUGCAAAAGCCUUUGAAAGGACAGCAAUAAUAAUAGACUUACCAUCCAAAGUGAUCUUCUUUUGCAUUCACUAGCCUGAUUAGCACUUGUCACUAAUUAAGAACCGCCUUUGUGAAAGAUAUGAACAUCUUUUUUUUUUCUGUAUCACUGUCACUAUGUCAUAAGAUUUCUCUCUAUUUUAAAAAAAAAAAAGUCAUCUUCUACGGGGUCUCUGGUUCUGAUGGGACCAGGGUCCGGCUUUAUUGUGAGGUGAACCUCCUCUCGAUAAACCUAUUAUUUAGCUUGGAGUUCUGUAUUGGUGUGUUAAAUUUUCACCACACUAUUAAAGUGGCUAACAUGACCAAAAAGGAAAAUGAUAAAUGUUUGAUGGGAUGUGAGAAAACUGGGACACUAACGAACUGUGGGUAGAACUGUGAGCUGAUACAACCAUUCUAGAGAGCAAUAUGGAACCAUGCCAAAAGAGCCAUAAAACCAUGCAUAUACCCUUUGACCCAGUAAUAUCACUACUGGGUUUGUAUCCCAAAGAGAUCAGAAAUAGGGGACAAGGACCUACUUGUACAAAAAUAUUUUUAGCAGCUCUUUUACAAGCUGUGAUAUAUGGUUGUAAUGGAAAACUAUUGUGCCAUAAAUGAUGCUCAGGAUGAGUUCAGAAAAAUCUAGAAAGACUUAUAUGAACUGCAAAUAUGCAAGUAAAACGAGCAGAACCAGGAGAACAGUGUAUACAGCAACAGAAAUACUGUACAGUGAUCAACUGUCAAAGGCUAAGCUAUUAUCAGCAAAACAAGAUUCUAAGAUAACUCCAGGGACUCUUGAUUUAAAAAAAAAACAAAACAACCCAACACUAUCUUUAACCAAAGAAGGAAUUGUUGGAAUCUGAUUGAAGAUCAAAGCAUGCCAUCCUUCACUUUAUUUCCUUCAUCAGUUUCUUAUUGUAUAUAUUGUCCUCAGUCAUGACAAGGAGAAUAGAGAAAUAUGCAUACCUAUACCAUACUUUUUACCACCUUGGGGGGCACAGGGACACAGAGAGACCAUCUGAACUUGUAAGUGUCAAAAAGCAAUUGUCAAAGAUUGUUUCUACAUGUAAUUGAAAAAAAUUUAAUUUUAAUUUUAAAUAAAAAAAUUAGAAGUCUCUCUUCUGUGUUUCACAUAGGGCUAAAAGUAGAAGAAUGAUGCUUAUUUGUCACAGAUAAGAUUUGUCUUAACCCAAAUACCCCUGUGCUUUUGGAAGCUUUGAUGUUGAUAUGAAAGAUAUUGAACAUGUAUCAGUUCCUUUGGCCAAAUAUCAACUCAUCAUUUGGUUGUUGUGCCGUCAGGGUACCAGCAGUUAAAAUGACAACUACAGGUGGUCUAAGAACCAUAUGACCUUCUUUCCUCUUCCCAAAUCAAGUUUGUUAUCUCUUCCACAGAAACCAAAUGGAACCCAUAAAGGGGCAAGAGCCAUUUGGUAUUCCAGUGCAUUUUAGAGAUUUCUUGUGGCCAUAAAAAUGUCUUACCUGGUGAGCAACUUUCUGAUAAUGUCUCAAAAUUACUUAACUGCUGGGUUAAAGAACAGGCACUACCUGGUUUUCUGGACCCUUCACAAUCUAUAUGCUACUGCUUAGAGCUUUCAAUAAUAGCUGACAUUUAUGUAGCACUUAGUGCUAAAUGCUUACAAUUAUUAUCUUAUUUGAUCUUCAAGAACUGAGAGUCACUUACAUAUUUCAAUUAGCUAUCAGAGGAUAGAAGGACUUUGUAGAAGUUGAUGUCUCUAGAAAAAAGGCUCUUCACCUUUUUUUCAAAAACUGGACUCCUCAGAAUAUUUUAGUUUUUUAAAUUCAUAAUUAUUGAAUAUGGAUAUAUAUGCAUAAUAUGGAUGCAUAAGGAAAAUGCUGUUAGAGUUAGUGAAAAUGAAGAUAAAAUUUUUCCCCAUCCAAUUUCAGAGUGUCCACCCCACCAAAAUCUAUCUGUAGACUCAUUGUUUAAAAUAUAUCUCUGCAAACC